GAGCCAAUGUCCUAUCUCAGGGUUUCCCACGUCGCUCGCUCCUUGACGGCUGACCGAGACUGGGUCUGAGGUGUAAGCGCUUUCCAGGCCCUUCCCUGGGGCUUGGAGGGGAAUGGCGCAAAGGACUUUUCUUACAAGCAGAGCCACUGCAGUUACCAAAGAGUAUGUCGCUUAUUGUCUAAGAGGCUGGACUCCUGAAAGCCUGGACAGUGUCAUCAUCUUCACCUGAAGAGUGGAAAAAUUCAAGCAAAGAGUUUUCUCAGGAAAUGACCAAGUAAAACAUCUGGAGUAAGUCAGCAGGAUUCAAAGUGACUCCCCCCAACCACCUGGUGGUGUUUCUCUCUGAAAGCAGCGCUUGGUACCAGUGUGAACUCUCUUCCUUCAGAAGUCUCAUCAGGUGGACGUAAUAUGAGGGUCUGGUCCCCCAUACCUUGAGGACUCUGCUGCCAUCUGACAAUUACGGACAAUCCAAUUGUCCUCAUCCUUGAGGACUCUGCUGCCAUCUGACAAUUAGAGACAGUCCAAAACAUGCCACACUUUGAUCCUAAACACAUUCCUGGCUUUGGUCACUUUUGAAAAGUUCCUGAGUUACGAGAAAUCAAUAAUAAGAGUGUUCAAAACCUGAACACUCUUUUUAGAAAUACCUGCUGGAACUACAUAUAUGAUUUACGGGGUACUGUCUUGUAGUAUCUGGGAAAGUAGACCCAUCUAACCUGGAAUGACCAUAGGCAACAAUGACCAAAAAUGGGGAUCUUUUGAUAUACCUAAAGUAAUUUAUUUGUGCACACCAGUGGAAAGAGCUGGUUUUAGAACCAGACAUGUAAAUAGGAGACUUACUUCCACUGGCACCUAAAAACUUCUAAAAGAAAUCCUGAAAGAAAAAGUCACCUUCAUUCAAGAGACCAUUUGGGCCUUCAUGAGUAACCAGCUGAGAAGCUGAGAUCAGAUAGAAAUGAAAUUCAUGGAAUAGGACCCUGACAAGUACUCUUGAAUACAGAUUUCUGAUAACUUUGGAGAUCAUAUCACUGGACUAAGUAACAACUUUCAGGAUAUAAUUGGAGACACUUGUUAUUUUACUAAGGAUUUGACUGGAAUGACAUAUUUUCAGAUAUGACCAGACUGCUUUGAAGAAUGGAGGUUGACUCUAUAGAGGCAAUUAAAAAGCCUCUUGGAAAGACUGGCCUGGUCCCUUGUCUACGUAGUUCCCUUUCAAGAUUUCUGUCCUGUGUUAAGUAAAGAAUGUCACUUUCUGACAGGCCUGGGAACCUCAAAAUAUUUCUGCUGUGUAUCUCUCAUCGUUUUAUUUCUUCUGAGAAAACUAAAUUCAUGGUACACUGAAGAGGUGAUUCCACAAGUGAUGGCAGCUAUAAAUCAAUGACUGCUAGGACUACCUGGGAAUGAGCCUUUCUGGCAAUGAGGGAUACCUUGACACUCAGAUUUUGAUCAUCAGUGCUUUCAAAAAGAAAGAUUUUUGAUCAAAAGGAAGAAAUGAGAAAAAGAACUUUUAUCUGAAGAAUGCAAGUCCUUUCCAUUAUCAGAUCCAGAGAGGUAUUAAAAUGAGACGGCAAUCCUGUCCUACACACACCCCCUUUUGAGCCACGUACUCAUCUUUUUAUACUGCUUACUAUUGCCACAAGUAGCUGAAAAUUAGCCUACUGGUGCUGCACCAGACAUUAUAACCCACAUCCUAUAGCUUAAUAAUGGAUAGCCAAUCAAUAGCUUAUGUUAUGUUAAUGUAAAUUAUUGGUAAAUAACUCAGGAACUGCCUCUUCUUUCCUUUUAAAAACCCCCUUGUGGGCUGGGCGUGGUGGCUCACGCCUGUAAUCCCAGCACUUUGGGAGGCCAAGGUGGGCGGAUCACAAGGUGAGGAGAUCAAGACCAUCCUGGAUAACACAGUGAAACCCUGUCUCUACUAAAAAUACAAAAAAUUAGCCGGGCGUGGUGGCGGGCACCUGUAGUCCCAGCUACUCGGGAAGCUGAGGCAGGAGAAUGGCGUGAACCCAGGAAGCAGAGCUUGCAGUGAGCUGACAUGGCACCACUGCACUUCAGCCCAGGCAACAGUGCGAGGCCCUGUCUCAAAAAAAAAAAAAAAAUCCACUUGUGGCUGAGUGUGGUGGCUCACACCUGUAAUCCCAGCACUUUGGGAGGCUGAGGUGGGCGGAUCACCUGAUGUCAGGAGUUCGAGAUCAGCUUGCCCAAUGUGGCGAAACCCUGUCUCUAUUAAAAAUACAACAAUUAGCCAGCUGUGGUGGUGGGUGCCUGUAAUCCCAGCUACUUGGGAGUCUGAGGCAGACUCAAGACUUCAAGAAUGUCUUGAACCCAGGAGGCAGAGGUUGCAGUGAGCCAAGAUCACACCAUUGCACUCCAGCAUGGGUGACAAGAGUGAAACUGCCUCCAAAAAAAAAAUCCACUUGUAACUGCUGCUACUCAGAAUGUAUAUUCACGGCAACUGGAAUCUAUGUUACUAAGUUGCAAUCCUCAAGCUUGUCCCAAAUAAACUCUCUACUUAUAUUAA